rnacentral:rRNA from 1 species
UACGGGAGGCAGCAGUGGGGAAUAUUGCACAAUGGGCGCAAGCCUGAUGCAGCCAUGCCGCGUGUAUGAAAAAGGCCUUCGGGUUGUAAAGUACUUUCAGUCGUGAGGAAGGUGUUAAGGUUAAUAACCUUAGCAAUUGACGUUAGCGACAGAAGAAGCACCGGCUAACUCCGUGCCAGCAGCCGCGGUAAUACGGAGGGUGCGAGCGUUAAUCGGAAUUACUGGGCGUAAAGGGCACGCAGGCGGUUAAUUAAGUUGGAUGUGAAAUCCCCGGGCUUAACCUGGGAAUGGCAUUCAAGACUGGUUAGCUAGAGUCUUGUAGAGGGGGUAGAAUUCCAUGUGUAGCGGUGAAAUGCGUAGAGAUGUGGAGGAAUACCGGUGGCGAAGGCGGCCCCUGGGACAAAGACUGACGCUCAUGUGCGAAAGCGUGGGGAGCAAACGAGGGAUUAGAUACCC